GCCGAGCUUGGUAACGUAAGCUUGUUAUCCGAGUGGAGGCUUAAAGGAUAGUGGAACGUUGGUUCAAGUUAUGAGGUAGGGCUCGUGUUUAUGGUUACACUGACCCGCCCAAUCCAAGCCAGGUGCUGAGUCAAGUGGUCUAGGUGAAGGCUUGAGCCAUGUGGCUCUUAGAGUGGAGGGCAACGCAUGAGACUGGUUUCACAGAGCAACGAACACUUCCCGUUUCUGUCGGUGGAUGGAUUGCGGGUUAGAGCAGGGUCAUUAGAAAUUUGGGUACAGGUUCAU
rnacentral:SRP_RNA from 1 species